GCUUACGGCCAUACCACCCUGAACACGGCCGAUCUCGUCUGAUCUCGGAAGCUAAGCAGGGUCGGGCCUGGUCAGUACUUGGAUGGGAGACCGCCUGGGAAUACCAGGUGCUGUAAGCU
ensembl:rRNA 5S_rRNA 5S ribosomal RNA